rnacentral:rRNA from 1 species
AUUGAACGCUGGCGGCAUGCUUUACACAUGCAAGUCGAACGGCAGCGCGGGCUUCGGCCUGGCGGCGAGUGGCGAACGGGUGAGUAAUGCAUCGGAACGUGCCCAGUAGUGGGGGCUAGCCCGGCGAAAGCCGGAUUAAUACCGCAAACGACCUGAGGGUGAACGGGGGGGACCGGAAGACCUCGCGCUAUUGGAGGGGCCGAUGUCGGAUUAGCGAGUUGGUGGGGUAAAGGCUUAACAAGGCGACGAUCCGUAGCUGGUCUGAGAGGACGACCAGCCACAAUGGGACUGAGACACGGCCCAGACUCCUACGGGAGGCAGCAGUGGGGAAUUUUGGACAAUGGGGGCAACCCUGGUCCAGCCAUGCCGCGGGCGGGAAGAAGGCCUUCGGGUUUUAAAACGCUUUUGUUUGGGAAGAAAUCCUCUGGGCUAAUACCCCGGGGGGAUGACGGUACCGGAAGAAUAAGCACCGGCUAACUACGUG